rnacentral:rRNA from 1 species
GCGGUGAAAUGCGUAGAUAUCGAUCGGAACGCCAACGGUGAAGACAGGCAGCUGGGCCUAUCCUGACGCUGAGGCACGAAAGCGUGGGGAGCGAACGGGAUUAGAUACCCCGGUAGUCCACGCCCUAAACGAUGUGCACUAGACCGCAGGAGUUCUGACACUUUUGCGGUCGUAGAGAAAUCGAUAAGUGCACCGCCUGGGGAGUACGGUCGCAAGGCUAAAACUCAAAGGAAUUGACGGGGGCUCACACAAGCGGUGGAGCAUGUUGCUUAAUUCGAAGCAACGCGAAGAACCUUAUCCAGGGCUUGACAUGCACGGAUUAGCUGUUGGAAACAUCAGUGACACCCGCAAGGGUGGAACGUGCACAGGUGCUGCAUGGCUGUCGUCAGCUCGUGCUGUGAAGUGUCGGGUUAAGUCCCUUAACGAGCGCAACCCUUGUCGCUAGUUGCCAGCGGGUAAUGCCGGGGACUCUAGCGAGACUGCCGGUGUCAAACCGGAGGAAGGUGGGGAUGACGUCAAGUCCGCAUGGCCUUUAUGUCCUGGGCUGCAAACGUGCUACAAUGGUGCGUACAGAGCGAUGCGAGGCCGCGAGGCGGAGCAAAUCGCAAAAAGCGCGCCCCAGUUCGGAUUGCAGGCUGCAACUCGCCUGCAUGAAGCCGGAAUCGCUAGUAAUCGGAGAUCAGCUACGCUCCGGUGAAUACGUUCCUGAGCCUUGUACACACCGCCCGUCACGUCAUGGAAGCUGGGGGCGCCCGAAGUCGCCGCGAUUCAGCGGUGCCGAAGGCGAACUCGGUGACUGGGACGAAGUCGUAACAAGGUAGCCGUAGGAGAACCUGCGGCUGGAUCACCUCCUU